rnacentral:rRNA from 1 species
UACGUAGGGGGCAAGCGUUGUCCGGAAUCAUUGGGCGUAAAGCGUGCGCAGGCGGUUUUGUAAGUUUGUCGUGAAAGCCCCGGGCUCAACCUGGGAAUUGCGAUGAAGACUGCAAGGCUUGAAUCUGGCAGAGGGGGGGUAGAAUUCCACGUGUAGCAGUGAAAUGCGUAGAGAUGUGGAGGAACACCGAUGGCGAAGGCAGCCCCCUGGGUCAAGAUUGACGCUCAUGCACGAAAGCGUGGGGAGCAAACAGG